GUACUCUUCUACACACUUUUGUGGUUUUACUAAUAACAACACAAAAAAGUCGUUUUGAGUAAAUGACAUACUCUAAUUGUAGCAACUCUCCGAGUAUUGAGCGCAUCACCACUUUAUUCUUCGUUGCCCGAUCGUUUGUGUGUUUUGUAUGUGACAUGAGGUAGAUAGAGCAGUCGAAGAUGGUACCAUACAUGUGCUAACGACCCUGCACGAAUCUGCUGAUGAAUUUUUUUAGAAAUUCAAGGGAAUCCUAAUAUUAACAGGACAUUUCAAGGGAAAUGGGUAAUAGGUACAACGCGGAGAAGAAUCACCGAAUAGUGAAAAUUUUUUCAAAAAAAUACAGAAAGGAGAAAAGCAAAAUUGGUGCAUCUGGUGAAAGUUCUUUGGUAACAUUACCAGGCAUCAUAGGGUCCUAUGCCAAUUUUUCGAAAUUGGACUUUAAGUUGGUCGAAAUUAUUCUGUAUAACUAACACUGCCGUUACACGGGAAAGAAAUUGCUUUUAAGUUGAUCACACGGACUAAUUGUCAAAAAUAUAUAUUGAAAGCAAAGACGUAGGCUGCAAGCAACUUGCUCUUCAAUUUUAUUAGAUUAUACUUUCAGAGAUGCCGUCGUUAAAAAAACUGCUCAAAAUACUCGCUUCCUUGAAAGUUUUAGAAGAAAUACAUAAUGUAUUUAAUGAAAACAGAAGAGUUGAAAGAAAAUACUUGAUGAAACCGUUAAUAGUAACAAGAUUUGUAAACACAUAGACAUGCUUUUAUUCAUAUAUAUGUACAUGCUAUUUUUAUUUACUGGACGAAACCGUUAUUAAGGGUGGAAUACGAUUUGGAGGCGCAUUUACUUGACAAUUUGGUGUGGGACGAUGACGACACUGAAAUUAGAAAUUUCACGCGCAUUGAUAUAAAUAAGUUUGAGAAGUCAUUCCAAAUGGUAGUGAAUUAUGACAAAAUAACAAGAA